GACUCUGUUCUCACUGUUCACCCAGCACUAGCAGUACCAGACGGUUCUGUGGAGUCCUGGGGAAUGGAGAGAGCACAGUC
ensembl:miRNA